UACGGGGGGAGCAAGCGUUGUUCGGAUUUACUGGGCGUAAAGGGCGCGUAGGCGGCCACCGCAAGUCGGUUGUGAAAUCUCUGGGCUUAACCCAGAAAGGUCAACCGAUACUGCGGGGCUAGAGUGCAGAAGGGGCAACUGGAAUUCUCGGUGUAGCGGUGAAAUGCGUAGAUAUCGUUUGGAACGCCAAUGGUGAAAACAGGUUGCUGGGAGUGCGCUGACGCUGAGACACGAAAGCCAGGGGAGCAAACGGG
rnacentral:rRNA from 1 species